rnacentral:rRNA from 1 species
UGCGUAGGCGGCUUUUUAAGUUUGGUGUGAAAUCUCCCGGCUCAACCGGGAGGGUGCGCCGAAUACUGAGAGGCUAGAGUGUGGGAGAGGAAAGUGGAAUUCCUGGUGUAGCGGUGAAAUGCGUAGAUAUCAGGAGGAACACCGGUGGUGUAAACGGCUUUCUGGACCAUAACUGACGCUGAGGCACGAAAGCGUGGGUAGCAAACAGGAUUAGAUACCCUGGUAGUCCACGCCCUAAACGAUGCAUAUUUGGUGUGGGCCAUUCAUUUGGUCCGUGCCGGAGCUAACGCGUUAAAUAUGCCGCCUGGGGAGUACAGUCGCAAGGCUGAA